AGCUCCAAUAGCGUAUAUUAAAGUUGCUGCAGUUAAAAAGCUCGUAGUUGCAUUUCCGAGGCAAGGGAUUAGUCCGACCUUUGGUGGGUAUUUAAUCCUCUUGCCUCGUCCUUGAGUGGUGCUUCUUGGUAUUAAGUUAUCGAGGAGAUAGCCGCUCAUCGUUUACUGUGAGAAAAUUAGAGUGUUCAAAGCAGGCUUAUGCCGUUGAAUAUAUUAGCAUGGAAUAAUAAGAUAGGACCUCGGUACUAUUUUGUUUGUUUGAGAACCAAGGUAAUGAUGAAUAGGGACAGUUGGGGGUAUUCGUAUUCAGUUGUCAGAGGUGAAAUUCUUAGAUUUACGGAAGACGAACUACUGCGAAAGCAUUUACCAAGGAUGUUGUCA
rnacentral:rRNA from 1 species